GUGGGGAAUAUACCGCAAUGGACGAAAGUCUGACGGAGCAACGCCGCGUGAGUGAUGAAGGUUUUCGGACUGUAAAGCUCUGUUGUUUGGGACGAAAGUGCCUGUUGCGAACAGUUACGGGUAUUGACGGUACUAAACGAGGAAGCCACGGCUAACUACGUGCCAGCAGCCGCGGUAAUACGUAGGUGGCAAGCGUUGUCCGGAAUUAUUGGGCGUAAAGAGCAUGUAGGCGGGAAUCUAAGUCUGUUGUUAAAAUGCGGGGCUCAACCCCGUAUUGCGAUGGAAACUGGGUUUCUUGAGUGCAGGAGAGGAAAGGGGAAUUCCCAGUGUAGCGGUGAAAUGCGUAGAUAUUGGGAGGAACACCAGUGGCGAAGGCGCCUUUCUGGACUGUGUCUGACGCUGAGAUGCGAAAGCCAGGGUAGCGAACGGGAUUAGAUACCCUGGUAGUCC
rnacentral:rRNA from 1 species